GACGAACGCUGGCGGCGUGCUUAACACAUGCAAGUUGAACGGUCCGGCAUGGAAGCUUGCUGAAGUGUCGGGUAGUAGCGGACGGGUGAGUAAUGCAUGAGAAGCUGCCAUUGGGAGGGGGACAACAGUUGGAAACGGCUGCUAAUACCCCAUAUGCCGGAAGGUGAAACGGAGUGAUCCGCCCGAUGAGGUGCUCAUGUCCUAUCAGCUAGUUGGUGAGGUAACGGCUCACCAAGGCGACGACGGGUAGCCGGCCUGAGAGGGUGACCGGCCACACUGGAACUGAGAUACGGUCCAGACUCCUACGGGAGGCAGCAGUGGGGAAUAUUGGGCAAUGGGGGCAACCCUGACCCAGCGACGCCGCGUGAGGGAAGACGGCCUUCGGGUUGUAAACCUCUUUUGUACGGGAAGAAGGACGUGACGGUACCGUGCGAAUAAGUCCCGGCUAACUACGUGCCAGCAGCCGCAGUAA
rnacentral:rRNA from 1 species